GUCCUCGGGUGCUUGUUGAUUUUGCUUUAGUGGCCGGCUUCUGGUUUAGGCUUUGUCCUAUGCGUGACUUCUGUCCUUAUAACUCCUACAGGUUUCAAUCGCAGACUGGUCUCCAGAACACCCACUCACGCCCAGGCCUGGGCUUUUCCUCUUGUACGUCUGGGUCUGGUGUUUACUUUUCUCAGCAGAGGGGAGCUGCUUGGGGUUAGAAGAAGCCUCUUGAACCAUUGCUCCGCGUAUUGGGACACACACCGCUGGGUUAUAGGCAGUUGGCUUGCGGAGGUAUGAUGGUUGCUGGCUCCUACAUGAUAAGUGGGGUGGACACAUGGCAACAACAGGUUGUACUGAUUGCCUUGAUGUGUUGCAUUGUUAGGGGUAGUGAGUGUAUCAUGUUGGUUGGCCGGUGGAUGAAAAAAAAGUUUUAUUAAAAUUGAAAGUAAUUUCAAGACUCGGUUACUAUGUCCUUUGCUAGAUUUCUUUGCGGCCUGUUAGUGUCAACCAUCUUUGUUGUGUAUUGGCCUGGCACCGAAUGGCAUUGUGACUGCUACUUAAGGGGCUCAGGUAGACCCCAGCACAAAUGAAAGAUCUUUGGAAGUGCCUUCCUUCAAAUGUUGGGAUACGGUACUGAAAGGACAGAUAAUUGUCCCUGCUGUAUUGUAGCUAUUAUUUGCAGGUAGGGUAAAAAAAUUUUUUUUUUAAAAAGUUUUGUUUUUUUUCUUAAUAGUGCUCAGAGCUCAGUCUGUCAGGUUCUCCAUCUCCUCAAUACAUGUUCAAAUAACCUCAGAGUAGGCAGACAACCUAACUCUUAAAGUAGCUGACUGAAAGCAACACAUUUCCCAUUCUACUUCUAUUUCACUGGCCACAAGUCACAUGGCCAUUCCUGAUUCCCUGAGUAGGAGAUACCACUCGUUCCUUAGGAAAUGACACUGAAUGUUUGUGAUCAAUAAUAUAGUCCACUAAAAUUAUAUUUCAUAAUAUAGAAUUCCAACACAAAAGGUGUCUGAAGUUGCUUCAUUUUGGUAUUUUCAAGGUUUUUAUUCUCUCAAUUGGGUAUGGAGCUAAUGUAUGAACUGAUUGUCAGAAAUUUGAAUACAAAUCCCAACCAUUGUCCCUUUCCUAGGGUAGAGAUCUGAUCUUUUCAUUUGUCCAUGAAGCGUGUCCACGAACUUAUUCCUUAUUCUGGCUUCGUUGUACUGAUAGAGUGUUGUUAUUUAGGUCAUAGCUUGCAGUAACACUGUGAAUAUAGUCUUGUUUUAGUCCUUUUCCCUGAUAGUAAUAGAAAAGAAACAUGUGGCAGAUCAAUGGUCACAUACUGUGUGCUUGAGGUCGUGUGAAUCUGUUCUAGUAAAGAUGAUAAUACAGCAACAACUGGGGCUGUGGGUUUGGCUGAAUUUGUCUCCUGUCAACAACCUUGAUCUGUCUCAUCUAUUUGGAGCUAUUCUAGUAAAAAUAGGAAUAUGUUAGAGUAUUGACUCUCAGAUCUUUAAGUACUGCACUAAUCAGUAUCUAAUUUGAGUAUUAACAGACCAUUUCAUGAUUCUUACGGAACAUAAGAGGAUAGGCAGUCACUUCCCACUUAUUUCCCAGUGUCCUUAGGAGGCUGGCAGAAGUUUCCCAUCACUUCCAGGGUUCUAGUUAGGUAUAAGAUUUCUUAUUUCUCUUCCCUAGGGAAUUUUAAAGCAUAAAGGUGCUUAGCAAGAGUCUAGAAGUGAGUCCUUAACAGGUUACCCCACAAUUCAUGUUGUAGACACUUGUUCCAUUUUUGUUCUGUUUUGUUUUUGAGACAGUCUCACUAUGUAAUCCAGGCUGGCCUUGAACUCACUGUGUAGCUGAUACUGGUCUCAAACUUUCUGAUCCUCCUGCCUUCCAAGUUCUAGGAUUACAGAUCCAUGCUAAAAAGGCCCAAAGGUCAUUGGUGGAAGCUAGAAAGUCUAUGCCAGCAGAAUGAAAGCUGUGUUGGUAGGUUGAGGGUUCUAUGCUGGAGCCGAGAAGUCACGUUCAAAACAGACCAGGAUUGUCCUAAAAAGAACCACAGUCAUGAGUGAUAUGGAGGCCCUGAGUUCCUCUGACAAUGAGCACAGUUGAGUACAUGCCAGGAAGUCAGCGUGAUGAGUUCAUCCUAGAGAUUAAGCAGCACACAUCUUCCCCUCUGGGGCCAGGAAGCAAUGCUCAAUGUAAGGAUCAGAGCUUCUCCAGGAGAACCAAUGUCUCAAACAGCAACGUGUAGGAGAACCUACAAUGCCUCAACACCUCCCUUCUCCUUCUCCACGUUUCUAUCCUGGCAACUUUCCUCAGGUGGAACAUGUAUGCUUAGCACCAUACUGAUGUAAUCCAGCUGGCGUUAAAUUGACCAUCAGUUUUUAAUCUGUAACAGUGGUCAUGGUAGACCUCAUUGAAAAAAGAGACAUUUGAAAAUCUGAAGGCAGUGAAAGCUGUGGCCAUGCAUACAUCUGGGGGAAAAAGCCAUUCUAGGUCAGGAAACAGCCUGUCUACAGUCUUUUAAGAUGAGAGGAACAAAGAGCCCAACAUUCUGUAGGUAGUGUCUUCAAGGUUUAUGAAGUAUGUAGGUCUCUUUGUUAAAAUACAUGACUCUAAAAUACUUGUUAAAAUACCAUGCCUUACUAACAAAUUAUGGUUAAAAGUAUAAAAUGUAUACUCAACCUUUUUAAAUGCACAGUGCUGUUACCUAUACAGCAUUUAGUGGCAUUUACACUGUUGAGUAACAGAGCUCUGGAACUUUUUCAUCUUGCAAGCAUAAAACUUUAUAGCCAUGUCCUAUAGUUUGGAUAUGCUUUGUCCCUAAAGGUUUGUGUGUUGAAAUCUUGGUCCCCUGUAUGGCAGCAUUGAGGUAAAGGAGACUUCAUGCAGUGGGGUUUGGUGAAAGGUUAAUUAGAUCAAGAGAGCAGCACUCUUGGAAGAAAUUACUUCUUACAAGACAAAGUUAAUUCCUGCAAAGGAGGUGGGUGGGAAGAGAUCAUUACAAAUGAGGGAGGCUGUCCCUCCCUGUGCUUGCUUCCUUCUUCCUGCACAUGAGUUCUGCCACAGCCUGUCUCCUUUUUCCUUUGCCAUGAUGUAGCCAUAUACCAUACACAACGCUGUUUGGACUUUCCAACAACCAGAAUUGUGAGCCAAUUAAACCUCUUUUUUAAAAAAAGUAUCCAGACUUGGUGUUUUGUUAUAGCAACACAAAACAGUAAGACAUCACAGAACAACUUCCUAUUUUCCCCACUUCUGUUUUUUUUUGUAGUGGAUUUUGGCUCAGGACCUCCUGCUUGUCAGGCAGCUGCUUAUGCCACUGAGCUAAAUCCCUGGCCCUCUUCCCCAGUUCUUGCAAGUACCAUUCUAUUUUGUUUGCAUCUCAUAUAAGUAGAAUGAUAUAGCAUUUUUCCUGAUGUAAAUUGCUGGGGUUUUUUUGGUGUGUUCUUGUAUUGAGAAUUCUGGCUCCAACCUUGCUGCAUGCUGAAUUUAGCUAUUCUCUUGUGCCUACAUAGAACUCAAAUCAUAGCGCUUCUGUUUACCAGCUGAAUCAGAUGGGCUGCCUUUGGCUAUGAGGGAGAGAAGCUGUGACCCAGGUUGUUUUAAACAGUAAAGGAGCAUAUCGCUUGCACAGCAGAAAGUAUGGAGAAUAGGAGAGUCCAGGUUUGGGGGGGGGGGGUGUAUGACAACUAUUCAACAGUGUCCUGAGCAGAUGUUUCCUUCUCUCAGCUCUGUAGACUUCAUUCUCAGGUUGGUAGCAAGGUGAACUGGAGCUGACUCAGGUCUCACAUUCAGUCAUGGUAUGAUAGAAGGAGAAACAUUUCUUCAAAAUUUCUAUGGGAAGAUUUCCUUCACAGCUAAUUGACCAGAAUUGAAUCACAUACCUAUGCCUGAAACUGCUAUUGAUAAGAGAAUCAGUAGUUUAAUCAGUUCUGCUCCAUGGUUAGGGAAAUGAGGAAGAAGUGUUACCUCCAUUGAAACUUAUGGGUGAAUUGAAAGAUAUGUUAGGGAGGAGGAAGAGGGAGAAUGGAAGCUGACUGUCCAGCUACAGGGUGUACUGUAUUAACUGUGUGAUUUGAGGAAAAUCUUUAACCAUUUCUGAUCAUCAAUUAUUUUAAGAAAAUGAGCACAAUAAUUUUCUCAUGUGAGAAUUAAACAGUAUUUCAUGUAUAAUAAUUGAAAUAAUAUAUGUAAGAGCACUGAGAACAUUCCAUGACACAUAUUAUUGCUUAGUUUAUUGGUUCUCAGAUUGUGAUACCAGCAUUAUACCUAGUGUUAUGGGCUGAACUGUCUAUUGCAACUGCUGUAUCUCUCCACUCAUAUUUGCCUAACUCCUAAUUCCUUAGAAUAUGGAGUCUUUUUCUUUUGUACCAGUGAUCAAACUCAGUUAAAAUUAGAAACUGGAAUUAGUGAUGUCCUUAUAACAGGAGCAAAUCAUGACACAGACAGAAAAAAGAAAACAGCAAUCUUUAAGACAAUGAAAGAAGCCUUGGAAUGAACCAACCCCAUUAACAUCUUGAUACUGAACUUCUUCCAAAACUGUGAAAAAAUAGAUUCCAUUGUUUAAGCUACUCAGACACUGGUGUGUUGUGGCAGCCAUAAUAGAUUUGUUAGAUAUAUUUAUAAUAUAUUUGAACUUGUUAGAAAUAUGAAGUCUUUAAUACAUGCCAGACCUACUGAGGCAGAAGCCCUUACAGUGAAGCCCAUUAAUCUGUUUUAAUCUUUUAGGAAAGAAGCCCAUUAAUCUGUUUUAAUCUUUAGGAAAUUUUCAUACACUUAAGAAUUGGUCUAGUUAUUAAGGCUAUAGGAACAUAAUCAGCCUUUAUACCCUAAUAAGGUUCCUAUCUCAAUUGUCUAUCAUUAGCUACCUAUAUAAUUUGGGAUAUUUAAAAAAUCUAUUUUAAUUUCCUCAUUUAUAUAAGGGGGCUAACUCUAACCCUUAUCUCUUAGGUGGUUGUACUGUCAGAUUCAUCCAUCUAGAUAGAAUUUAGAAUGGCUGGGUACAUAGUUGAUGCUCUACAAAUGUGAACUGUUAAGAUAACAUGUAAAUGUUGAAUCUGAAUCUCUUAAGUGCUUGAGUUUGUAAAAACAGUCAAGCUUAUUGGAAUUAUUUGUAAACAAGGGCCUGAGGAUUUCCUUUAGUAAAGUUGACUAUUCCAACCCUUA